CGGAGAGAUAACCUAGUCAUUCAGAGGCCGCAGGCUUCCGAGGCAAUCCGGCAGUGUCAGUCUACAGCCGCUAAGCUGAGAAGAUCUGGGAAGGAGUCAGUCAGAGAGCCUUGGGCCAGAGUUCCAGGGGCUCUGGGAGUGGCUGCCAGACAACUGUGAGUGGAAUUGCUGAGUCAUGUGGCAAACUACCAGUUCUGUUGAACCUCAGGGCCAUCAUUCUGUUCAUGUCAGCUCGUUGUAGAACCACAUCGAUGAAGACCAAGAUGGUAAAGAUGAAAAAUUGUAGCUAACAUUUACUGCACAUUUACUACAAGCCAAGCAUUGCACUAUGAAGUUUAAGUGCAUUAUUCAUUAACCCCUUCAAUAAAAUUUGUAAUUUUCAUUUCAGAAGC
rnacentral:lncRNA from 10 species